AUUUGGCAGCACAGUCUUUAGUCUCUUAUUGGGCGAUAAUCAAUAAUAGUGCAACCUUCCUUUAGUGGGCUUUCCCUUCUGUUAUCUUGUACUUCUCUCAAAGCAACGACCUAUACACAAGUGCUGAACUUCUUGAUGAGUUUUGGCCUAGUUAGGCUUCGACAUUUUCUUCCGACUGCUUCCUACCACGACUCUGCUACCUUCAAUGGCUUGUGUCCAACUGCCCAGAAUUAUCAUUCCCUUGUCUCUAUAUCCUUCCUACCGGAGAGCAGGGCUCUUCCUGCCUGCAUUCCAAAGGUCCCAGAGGUUCCACUUUCCCACCACCUGCACACCAUCUGCCAGUUGCAUCAUUACCUCUGUG
rnacentral:lncRNA from 1 species